AUUGAACGCUGCGGAAUGCUUAACACAUGCAAGUCGGCGGUAACACUUCGGGUGACGAGCGGCGGACGGGCGCGUAACGCGUGAGAAUCACCUUUUAUCGGGGGGACAACCCGAGGAAACUCGGGCUAAUACCGCAUAUGUCCUACGGGAUAAAGCAGGGGACCUUCGGGCCUUGCGCUAAAAGAUGAGCUCGCGUUAGAUUAGCUUGUUGGUAGGGUAAAGGCCUACCAAGGCAACGAUCUAUAGCUGGUCUGAGAGGAUGAUCAGCCACACUGGGACUGAGACACGGCCCAGACUCCUACGGGAGGCAGCAGUGGGGAAUAUUGGACAAUGGGGGCAACCCUGAUCCAGCAAUUCCGCGUGUGUGAAGAAGGCCCGAGGGUUGUAAAGCACUUUCAGUAGCCAAAAUGGGAUUUUACACUAAUAUUGUGAAAUCUUGAUAUUAACUACAGAAGAAGCACCGGCUAACUCCGUG
rnacentral:rRNA from 1 species